rnacentral:lncRNA from 1 species
UCUGACUAUCACCAAAUAGUACUUUGCUGUUUUUGUGUAUUCUAAACCGUACACUUGUCCAUGCAUAUGAAUUUCAUUAAUUUUAAAUACCAAUACUGGUUUUGAAAAGACUGGUUCAUAUAAUAUGCUUAAUUAUGUUGUGGUUUUUCUGUACCAAGGAAUGAUCCUGGUGAGUGGUUAAAAUAUUUGUUGGCACAUGUGGCUGUGUUAGUGAGAGGUCAAUAUGCAGCCUUUUCCACUAAUUAGCUUGAUUUUGGUAAGUUCAGAUUCUGAGAAGGAAAAGAAAGCCUCAGGGGCAGAGUAUUCAGGAGGACACCAAUCCAAACCCAUGUCUGAGGCAGCUUGAAAGAAGGUUUGCUGCAGGGAAGAGAUGGAAAGAGCGAAAUAGAGAUGGCAGGGGCGUGAUCUGUUGUAGGUAUCAAGUGAAGUAAUCCUUCCUUCCCUGCUGUUUGUUUUCGCAAGUCUGUUUUGCACAACUCUGUUUGCAGUGCAUGCAGUAACUUACCGAUUGCGUUUUGAGGGUUUUAGGUGUCAAAUAUGACCGAACCAUUAAAAUAAAAGUUGUAUAUCUUUUCAAGACCUUUCCAACGAAUGUUUAUUUCCAAUUUUUCUUCAGGUAUUCUAGGAGAUAUGCCUAUCUGAAAUUACUAUUAGUUUUCGUCAGACUGUAGUUUCAGUCAUGACUUCCUAUUUUGCGGGCGGUUUAAAGUAACUUCAAGGCUGAAUCUGUCCAUGGGGCUAUGGAUGUAUUUUCAGUAUUUGGUUUGAGAUUUCCAUGGAUAAUUUAUUCUCAAUUUUUCGCUGAGUAUAGUGAAAGAUACACCCUUCUGAAUGUGAGAUCUUCCUGAAACUAUAUAGUUUUGGUUGUGAGUUUCAAAUUGGUUUACCAUUUUAACGGUACUUAGAGGCCGAUUGUAUUGUCUUGAAUGAAACUGUUGCAUAUUGCUUUAGAGGUUUUCUGAUACGGUCAUAGCUGCCGCAACUAACGAAUCAUUAACUCCCUCAUCGUGUAACUUCCCUGCUGCAGGUGAUUGGAUCAGCGAACCUUCUCUGUAGUUUAAGAUUUGAUCAGUUGGAGGAACGUGGUAAGUCCCUGGCAAAAUUCUUUCGCCUUGUUAAUUCCGCGUUUUUUAGCAGUGCAGCUGGUCCAUGUUGUACCAUCAGAGUCAUCGAUCUUUGACAGAAUGUAUUGCAUGAGCAGUAUAGUAUUCUCUCAUAUUAUGUGAACCCUCAGAUACCUUUCCAUGAGACUGAAACCAACUGUUUCCCAAAUUCUUAUGUGUUUGUGUAUAUGAUGGUACAUAAGUGAGUUUCACCAUUAUUGGUCUAUUUCUUGAUGUUUUUUCCAAGGAUAUUCGAUUGUUGAGUUAAUUGUCAGUGAUGCCAUCACACUGAGUUGCCGUUAAACUGUAAAAGUUACGUUUUUUUUUGUUUACCAAUGCAAUUAUUUUAAU